GACGUAGGGGGCGAGCGUUGUCCGGAUUUAUUGGGCGUAAAGCGCGCGCAGGCGGUCGGCAAAGUCGGAUGUGAAAACCAGGGGCUCAACCCUUGGCCUGCAUCCGAUACUCGUCGACUCGAGGCAGGUAGGGGAGAUCGGAAUUCCUGGUGUAGCGGUGAAAUGCGUAGAUAUCAGAAGGAACAUCAGUGGCGAAAGCGGCUUCCUGGUCCAGUACCGACGUUCAGGCACGAAAGCGUGGGGAGCAAACAGG
rnacentral:rRNA from 1 species